GUCGAACGAAGCUUGACGAAUGAUUUCUUCGGAAUGAAAUCUGAUAUGACUGAGUGGCGGACGGGUGAGUAACGCGUGAGCAACCUGCCCUUCGGAGGGGGAUAGUGUCUGGAAACGGACAGUAAUACCGCAUAACGUAUUUUUACCGCAUGAUAGAAAUACCAAAACUGAGGUGCCGAAGGAUGGGCUCGCGUUGGAUUAGAUAGUUGGUGGGGUAACGGCCUACCAAGUCGACGAUCCAUAGCCGGACUGAGAGGUUGAACGGCCACAUUGGGACUGAGACACGGCCCAGACUCCUACGGGAGGCAGCAGUGGGGAAUAUUGCACAAUGGGGGAAACCCUGAUGCAGCAACGCCGCGUGAAGGAAGACGGUUUUCGGAUUGUAAACUUCUGUUCUUAGUGAAGAAGAAUGACGGUAGCUAAGGAGCAAGCCACGGCUAACUACGUGCCAGCAGCCGCGGUAAUACGUAGGUGGCAAGCGUUGUCCGGAAUUACUGGGUGUAAAGGGAGCGCAGGCGGGAAGCCAAGUCAGCUGUGAAAACUACGGGCUUAACUUGUAGACUGCAGUUGAAACUGGUUUUCUUGAGUGAAGUAGAGGUUGGCGGAAUUCCGAGUGUAGCGGUGAAAUGCGUAGAUAUUCGGAGGAACACCGGUGGCGAAGGCGGCCAACUGGGCUUUAACUGACGCUGAGGCUCGAAAGUGUGGGGAGCAAACAGGAUUAGAUACCCUGGUAGUCCACACUG
rnacentral:rRNA from 1 species